rnacentral:rRNA from 1 species
ACGGUGAGUAACACGUAUCCAACCUGCCGUCUACUCUUGGACAGCCUUCUGAAAGGAAGAUUAAUACAAGAUGGCAUCAUGAGUCCACAUGUUCACAUGAUUAAAGGUAUUCCGGUAGACGAUGGGGAUGCGUUCCAUUAGAUAGUAGGCGGGGUAACGGCCCACCUAGUCUUCGAUGGAUAGGGGUUCUGAGAGGAAGGUCCCCCACAUUGGAACUGAGACACGGUCCAA